UACGGAGGGGGCUAGCGUUGUUCGGAAUUACUGGGCGUAAAGCGCACGUAGGCGGCUUUGUAAGUUAGAGGUGAAAGCCCGGGGCUCAACUCCGGAAUUGCCUUUAAGACUGCAUCGCUAGAAUUGUGAGAGGUAAGUGGAAUUCCGAGUGUAGAGGUGAAAUUCGUAGAUAUUCGGAAGAACACCAGUGGCGAAGGCGACUUACUGGACACAUAUUGACGCUGAGGUGCGAAAGCGUGGGGAGCAAACAGG
rnacentral:rRNA from 1 species